rnacentral:rRNA from 1 species
UACGUAGGGAGCAAGCGUUGUCCGGAAUCAUUGGGCGUAAAGCGCGCGUAGGUGGCCUCAUAAGUCCGCUGUGAAAGUCAAAGGCUCAACCUUUGAAAGCCGGUGGAUACUGUGAGGCUAGAGUACGGAAGAGGCGAGUGGAAUUCCUGGUGUAGCGGUGGAAUGCGCAGAUAUCUGGAGGAACACCGGUGGCGAAGGCGGCAUCCUGGACCAACACUGACACUGAGGAGCGAAAGCCAGGGGAGCAAACGGG